rnacentral:rRNA from 1 species
UACGGGGGGGGCAAGCGUUGUUCGGAAUUACUGGGCGUAAAGAGCGCGCAGGCGGUCGUUCAAGUCGCGUGUGAAAGCCCCCGGCUCAACUGGGGAGGGUCACGCGAUACUGAUCGACUCGAAGGCAGGAGAGGGUAGUGGAAUUCCCGGUGUAGUGGUGAAAUGCGUAGAUAUCGGGAGGAACACCGGUGGCGAAGGCGACUACCUGGCCUGUUCUUGACGCUGAGGCGCGAAAGCUAGGGGAGCAAACGGG